rnacentral:rRNA from 1 species
GAUGAACGCUGGCGGCGUGCCUAAUACAUGCAAGUCGAGCGAACAGACGAGGAGCUUGCUCCUCUGACGUUAGCGGCGGACGGGUGAGUAACACGUGGAUAACCUACCUAUAAGACUGGGAUAACUUCGGGAAACCGGAGCUAAUACCGGAUAAUAUAUUGAACCGCAUGGUUCAAUAGUGAAAGACGGUUUUGCUGUCACUUAUAGAUGGAUCCGCGCCGCAUUAGCUAGUUGGUAAGGUAACGGCUUACCAAGGCAACGAUGCGUAGCCGACCUGAGAGGGUGGACGGCCACACUGGAACUGAGACACGGUCCAGACUCCUACGGGAGGCAGCAGUAGGGAAUCUUCCGCAAUGGGCGAGAGCCUGACGGAGCAACGCCGCGUGAGUGAUGAAGGUCUUCGGAUCGUAAAACUCUGUUAUUAGGGAAGAACAAAUGUGUAAGUAACUAUGCACGUCUUGACGGUACCUAAUCAGAAAGCCACGGCUAACUACGUG